rnacentral:pre_miRNA from 1 species
UCUUAUGGAUGAGUAAAGAAAGUGGUUUCUUAAGCUGGAAACUACUCCUGGUGAAGAUGAUGUGAA